AUAGGUUUGGUCCUAGCCUUAUAAUUAGUUGGAGGUAAGAUUACACAUGCAAAAAUCCCUACACCAGUGUCAAAUCCCCCAGAAUUUAUCUAAAUUCCAAGGAGAGGGCAUCAAGUACAUUAUCGCUAUAGCUAAAGACGCCUUGCCAAGCCACACCCCCACGGGACCCAGCAGUGAUAAAAAUUAAGCAAUAAACGAAAGUUUGACUAAGCUAUACCUCUAAGGGUUGGUAAAUUUCGUGCCAGCCACCGCGGUCAUACGAUUAACCCAAAUUAAUUAUUUAUCGGCGUAAAACGUGCAUAUAAGACUAUCACCAAUAGAAUUAAAAAUUAAUUAAUAUGUGAAAAUUCAUCAUUACUAUUAAAAUCAAUGACGAAAGUAAUUCUAGUACUCUCAAUGCACGAUAGCUAAGACCCAAACUGGGAUUAGAUACCCCACUAUGCUUAGCCCUAAACUUCAAUAAUUAAAUAACAAAAUUAUUUGCCCGAGAACUACUGGCCACAGCUUAAAACUCAAAGGACUUGGCGGUACUCUAUAUCCACCUAGAGGAGCCUGUUCUAUAAUCGAUAAACCCCGCUACACCUUACCAUUUCUUGCUAAUUCAGCCUAUAUACCGCCAUCUUCAGCAAACCUUAAAAAAGAACACAAGUAAGCAAGAGGAUAUAACCAUAAAAACGUUAGGUCAAGGUGUAGCCCAUGAAAUGGAAAGCAAUGGGCUACAUUUUCUUCAAAGAAUACUCACGAUACUCUUUAUGAAACUAAAGAACGAAGGAGGAUUUAGUAGUAAAUUAAGAAUAGAGUGCUUAAUUGAAUGGAGCAAUGGAGUACGCACACACCGCCCGUCACCCUCUUCAAACUAAAUAAAUAGAAAACCAUGUACAUAAAGCCAUCUAACAAAUUUAUUAGAGGAGGUAAGUCGUAACACGGUAAGCAUACUGGAAGGUGUGCUUGGAACAAC
rnacentral:ncRNA from 1 species